GGACGAACGCUGGCGGCGUGCUUAACACAUGCAAGUCGAACGAUGAAGCCCCUUCGGGGGUGGAUUAGUGGCGAACGGGUGAGUAACACGUGGGCAAUCUGCCCUGCACUCUGGGACAAGCCCUGGAAACGGGGUCUAAUACCGGAUACGACACAGGGAGGCAUCUCCUCUGKGUGGAAAGCUCCGGCGGUGCAGGAUGAGCCCGCGGCCUAUCAGCUUGUUGGUGAGGUAACGGCUCACCAAGGCGACGACGGGUAGCCGGCCUGAGAGGGCGACCGGCCACACUGGGACUGAGACACGGCCCAGACUCCUACGGGAGGCAGCAGUGGGGAAUAUUGCACAAUGGGCGCAAGCCUGAUGCAGCGACGCCGCGUGAGGGAUGACGGCCUUCGGGUUGUAAACCUCUUUCAGCAGGGAAGAAGCGCAAGUGACGGUACCUGCAGAAGAAGCGCCGGCUAACUAC
rnacentral:rRNA from 1 species